rnacentral:snRNA from 1 species
GUACUUGCUCUGGCAGCACAUAUACUAAAAUUGGAACAAUAUGGAGAAGAUUAACAUGGACCCUUUGCAAGGAUGACACGUAAAUUCAUGAAGCGUUCCAUAUUUAA